UUCAGUGCAUCGGAGGGUCAAUCUCCUGAUCUGUAAACCUGAAGGGGGCUUCACUCCUGGAAAGCAUAGCACAUUUUAGAGCCUGGUUGUCUUAUAUUGCACUUUCCUAGUCUGUAUGUGGCAUUUUCGUACUGCAAUAAGAUAAUGUUUUUAGAGGCCUUGGACCAGCUUGUCAUUGUGGAACUUGUCUGUCAUACUGGGUAGGGCUUAAGAUGAAGGCCCAGUUAAAGUGUAGGCAAUGGAGCUUGAUUGGACCCGCAAUUGCUGUGCAGAUCUGCUAUUCUCGGUGGGUUGUGGGGCUGCCUUAUACUCUUGUGUAUGUGGGGAAUUUGCAGAAGUGUUAUGUGCCAUCUUAUGAGCAGAAGAUAGGGAUGAGUUGCAAUUUGGCACUAUACCCCCAGUUGAAUUAAAAACCCUCUGCCCCUUUGUGCAUGGGAGGAGGAAAGAGGGAGUUACCAAAGGAGAAGACAGAGUGGAGUGAGAAAAGAUAGAGGGAUAAGUGAAAAAGAAAAAGAAAGACAGGUGGAAGGAACAGAGAGAAAUAGAAGAAAAGAAAGAGAGGGACAAAGAAGAAAGAGAAAAAGAAAGAAAAAAAAAGAAAGCGAGA